rnacentral:rRNA from 1 species
GAAUUUUUGGCAAUGGGGGCAACCCUGACCAAGCAACGCCGCGUGGGUGAUGAAGUCUCUUGGGACGUAAAACCCUUUCGACGGGGACGAAAGCCGCAAGGUUUGACGGUACCCGUAGAAGAAGCCCCGGCUAACUCCGUGCCCGCAGCCGCGGUAAUACGGGGGGGGCAAGCGUUGUUCGGAAUUACUGGGCGUAAAGGGCGCGUAGGCGGUUCGCUAAGUCGGAUGUGAAAACUCUGGGCUCAACCCAGAGCCUGCAUCCGAAACUGGCGGGCUAGAGUUCUGGAGGGGAUAGCGGAAUUCCUGGUGUAGCGGUGAAAUGCGUAGAUAUCAGGAGGAACACCGGUGGCGAAGGCGGCUAUCUGGACAGAGUCUGACGCUGAGGCGCGAAAGCUAGGGGAGCAAACAGG